rnacentral:misc_RNA from 1 species
GAUGAAGAACGUAGCGAAAUGCGAUAAUUAAUGUGAAUUGCAGAAUUCAGUGAAUCAUCGAAUCUUUGAACGCACCUUGCGCCCUUUGGCCAUUCCGAAGGGCAUGCCUGUUUGAGUAUCAUGAACACCUCAACUCUUUAUGGUUUUCCAUGAUGAGCUUGGACUCUGGGGGUUUUGCUGGCUCACAGUCGGCUCCUCUAAAAUAAAUCAGCUUACCAGUGUUUGGUGGGUAUCAUGGGUGUGAUAACUAUCUACGCUUGUGGUUUUUCCACCAGGUAACCUUCAGCAGUGGAGGUUCGCUGGAGCUCAUAGAUGUCUCUCCUCAGUGAGGACAGCUCUUUGAAUGUUUGAUCUCAAAUCAGGUAGGACUACCCGCUGAACUUAAGCAUAUCAAUAAGCGGAGGA